UCAAAUGAUUAACGGUAUUGACAACAGCAUUGAUAAUAUAAUCUUUCAAAGUGUUCUUCACUCUGCAGGUAAAGGUAGAUAUUACUAAUUACCAAUCAGUAGUAUUAAUCUAUGGAUAAAUUCUGUAUUACAUUCUCUUCUGAUCUUCUUGUGUGUACGAAACCUCGAAGUACGUUGCCGCAGAGUAUAGCUGUGUACCUAGAUUUCUCAAAUCCUGGAAGAACAACAACGAUUACCACAGCAUCAAACUACAUUGGAAUCAAAGAUUGAGAAAAAUAGAUGAAUUGCCUUGAUACUGUUCUGCAGAUGGGUAUUAUGUUGGGUGGUGUUUUGGUCAAAGUUUGUAGAAGAAGCUGCGGAAGAUGAAUACAUGGUCUGGUAAGUCUUGAUUCCCCCCUUCCUUUUCCUGCAAAAUCAUACAUAUAUUUAUUUUGUAUAUGAUCAGGGUCAAACAUGUUUGAUGCUUGCACGUUCCUUAUGAAUAACCCAAAUGCAUGCACGAUGAUUAUAUUAAGGGUUUGGUGUUUAGUAUUAACAAAUCAAUUGGCAUUUGGUUGAUUUAGUUUUUUUCCCAAAUGAUAAGAAAUUAAGAAUGUUUUAAAUGUUUAGAAUUAAAUAAACAUUGACUCUCUUUAUAUAUUCAAUCUUAUCUUUCGAGAUUGAAAAAAGCAUAGAACAUGGAGAUUAUGGUUAAUUUUAAUUAUCUUAUUUAUAGGGUUGGGUUCUGCUGGGCCUGGGAUAUCAGAAAAUUCAUCUUUAUCGUUUUUUUAAACCUCAGAUUUGAGACUCUAAUUUAUUUUAAUAUUAAUUUCAACACACCAUUGAUAAUUUGAUAUUAGAAUGAUAGAAUAUUAGUUAGAAUCUAGUUCUUUAUUUUUAAUAUCUUAUAAUAAUUAUUUUUAGGUCAUUUAUUUAAAAUAAAAUUAAUAUCUCAUAAGAUAUCUCAUUUUAAAAUCCCAAACUUUAUGGUUUGUGGUAUGUGUAAAGUUUGAUUGAUGCUCUUUAAGUUCCAAAGUUGCAACCAUACAUUUGCAAUUUGCUUAAUACAUUAUUGUUGCCAAUGAGAGUUCUAGAAGACCCAUGUUUCUUUGGAUGAAUGCAAGUUCAUAUUUUGAAGACUGUGCAGACAAUAAACUUACAAGUUCAGUUCAGGUUUUGGGUGAGAUUCGGAUCGCUUGAUGAAGCCCUAAAUCGAAUCGAAUUUCCAAAGAAGAUUAAGAAGAGGUAUUACAAUGAACAUAGAUUGAAACAGACAGAAGAAAAUACGAAUUGUAUUUGUAUAAACAAAAAAUCUAACUAAUAUUUCCUUUUCCUUAUCUUGAAGCUAGAAGAACGAAUGACAUCGUCAUCUGUUUUCAACUUUGAUUCUAGGGAGAAGAGCGAUUCUGGUUUGGUGAAGUAGGUGAAGAGAAGGUAGAUACCAUCAAGGUAUGUGUUACUCUCUCCAGCUUUGUUCUUUUUCUUUAUACUAUAAGCAAGUGGAAUCACUCCUCUGUUGAAAACCUCCACAUACAUCCCUCCACCGGCAACAAGUAACUGCAGAAUCAUCAAUCACCACCAUCCAAGAUAACGUAAUCAAUUUCAUCAUCUAUUCAGAGUUGUAAUUUUAGGUUUAGGUUUAGGUUUAGAUUUACCUCCUCGUAUCUUUCCGUCAGCCCUAACCGUUCUUCCUCUGACAUGUCGGGUCUCAGCACCACCAUUGUCUCGUACUGUCUUAAUCCGGGAGGACAUUGAGGUUCAUCCUUCUCCUCCACCGUUGCCACAGCUGAAGCCGCAGAAGGUCCAUCAUCCCCGUUUCUCCCUUCCUCGAAAAACGAUCCGGAGAAAUCCAUGGUUAGGGCACGUGCACGCGUGUGUCUUGCGAGGCAGAGACCACUGGCACUGACGAUCUGAAGAGGAAUCGGGAAUGACGGGAAGGAUCUACGGUGGUUAGAAGUGGUGGAGGAGAGUGAUGUGACGGUGGGGAUGAGAAAAGACGCCAUUUUCGUUUUCGAAUCUCAACGGAAAGAAGAUUUAGUUCAGAUAAGAGAUGCCUGAAGGCUGAAGCGGAAUAGAGAUAAGAAGAGGAGAAGAGAAUGCGGUAUGCUAUUCUCAAGGAAUAUUUUAAUUAAAAUAUUUAAAAUGUAAGAUAAGCUAGAAACUGGAAAGCAGCGGUGAUGAGAAGUGAAAGAUAAAGAGAGGUGCGUGGCAUCCUACCACCAUCUUUUCUGAUCGUCAUCGCAGCAUAGACCGGAAUGCAGUUGACGACGACGAAUCCACACAGCAGAAGCUGGAUCCCAAAUUCUCCGACAGACCCAUUCCUCACACUUCCGACGCCUCCGACCACCAAACCCACCAGACUCAUCCACGCGAAAACUCCAAUCGACACCAUGAACGGUGAAGCCACACCAAAAUCAAACACCUGUUUCUCGUACCGUCGAGUUUCAUCCUCGUCCAUCACCUUGCUGGUCACGUUGAACCCAUCACCGGUAGAUAACCCAAACUGGUUCAGCGAGAAUUCCACUAUUCCUGCAGGGUAGCACGUAACACCACGUACAAGCCACAUCCUCUGGUUGUUCCACCACUUCCGGUACGUUCCUCCUCCCAGUCUGACAAAAUCGAUGGCGUCUUGACCGUACGAUGCCAAGAAGAGGUACACGUAGAGCAAGCUCCAUGGAUCUCGCAGCAGGUUUGGAAAAAGAGGAUGGUUAUGAUGAAGUAGAGCUAUCUGCGGCAGAAUGCCGUAAGUGAUGAGAGGGAUAGACCAACUGCUCCAGAAGGAGUUGUGUGAGUAACACAUUCCGAGAAGCAAUGAACCGUAUUUCACACCGUAGGUUACCGGACAGUGCUCCGAGAAGACUAUUUCCAGAAGGCCGAUGAUCCAUCUCUUGGUCUGGCUGAGUGCAUCAUGUAGUGUUAUCGGAACUUCUCCCAAGAAAGCUGGUCUUUCUGGGUCGCAGAAGAUCGACUCCCAUCCCUCACACUGCAAUUGAUAUCCUGUGUAGAAAUCCUCCACCAACGAUCCGUACCGGAAUCCGACGGUGGAGCCCCACUUGGUACCAACCUCGUAGCUUGCUCCGGCUACUUGAUGAACCCUACCCAACACCUGAUCGGAGAACAGAGAAGAAGAAGAAGAAGAAACCACAGUCUGCUUCUGGUCGGGUGAGGAAUGGAGCGCGCGACGAUUGAAGAAAGUAUUGCUGCCGACGUACAUCGGACCUGUGAUUCCAUUCAUACCCAACGGAUUGAUCAGAUACUGUCGUUUGUACUCACUUCCGUAUAUAUCGCCAUCGUUGAUCCCACUGAAUCUCUGAGGGAACUGGACGAAGGCUAGAGUUCUGGAGAUUGAAUCGUCGAGGAGGAAACACAUGGCCUGGUGAGGUGUUGUUGGAUCAUUGGACUUCAUAUCGCAGUCAAGAUUCAGUAUGAACGGCGCAUUCGUUAUCUCACCGGAGACUCGGAGCAGAGUGUUCAGAGAACCUCCCUUGAAAUGAUGAGAAUAAGCUCCGGUCUUCUCCCUUGCGACGUAUAUGAGGUUCGGUAAUGGAUGGUUGGUAAUAUCCAUGUCUUUACUGCUUUCAACCAAAAUCUGAACAAUGGUUGGAUGUUCUUUACUUGUGAAUCCCGGAACCCAUUUCUCAAGACCACCGGAACGUUCUCCCACCGGGAUCCCAUUCUUCAUCGCCUGUUCAAUUUUCUCUCUCAUCUUCCCGUACAUUUUCUGAACACAGCCAAUCAAACACCAACAUGCCUUAGCUGUAGCUUCUAGUAUAUACAUAAGUAAUAUAACCAUAACUCACCUUGAUGUUGUUUUCUUCGUGACUGUUGCCGGCGCUGUUUGAAUCGAAGUAAACCUCCGGGCAUCUCGUCAUGAUUCCGUUCAUCUUACAAAACGGCACCCAAUGCUUUGCGAACAACGAAGCCUCCAUGAAGGCGAACAGUGUGAGAUCCGAUCCACCGUCGUCCGAUAAGUAUACCGAGAGUUUCUCCACCGGAUAAUCAUACGCCAUCACCGACAGAGCGGUGUUCACAACACCCAUCGGUGGCUCUUUAUACGGAUCCGCCGUGCAUAUGAACACGUCCAGACCCGGUAGAUCCUUCAAUAACAGAUUUACGAAUCAAUAACAAAUGAAAUCCUCAUUAAACAGAUAUGCAUCGGAAGAUGGCGACGGACAGACCUUGUUCGACAGGCGUUCUGGGUGAGGGUGGCGCCGUAUAGGACGCCAGCGAAAGGCUUGAGUGACCAGCCACAUGAAAGCGAGAACCACAUCGGAGAAGAAGAGGAAGAGAGUCAGACAGAAGGAGACGACGGUAAUGGAAGAAUGCAGCUGAAGAUAACGAUGGUAGAAGAUUGCAAGGAUCGCAAAUGAGUAUAAACCUGCAUGUAUUCGGUUGAUCGGAAUUAAAGGAUCUAUCUGUGAGGUAUGGAGUGGCUGCGGUGUUUCGAGCAGUUUUCCGCACUCACCGCCGGCGUCUUUCAUCGGGUUAAUUGGGGGAAUAAAAAAAACAAAUCUUUCUGACAGAGACCGAAUUACGUAUUUAUCAUUGGUCUGUUUAAUAGAUUAUCAAUUUAUCAUCCAAUGGUUUAGAUUGCAGGAUUGCAAACAACGACAAAGAUGCGGUGGAGAUUCCGAUCGAAAAGUGAAAUUACAAAUACAGCCCUGUUGGGAUAUUCUAUUUUCAUACUAAAAC
rnacentral:lncRNA from 1 species